rnacentral:rRNA from 1 species
AGGACGAACGCUGGCGGCGUGCUUAACACAUGCAAGUCGAACGGAAAGGCCCCUUCGGGGGUACUCGAGUGGCGAACGGGUGAGUAACACGUGGGCAACCUGCCCUCAGCUUCGGGAUAACACUUGGAAACAGGUGCUAAUACCGGAUGAUAACUGAUCAUCGCAUGGUGGUUGGUUCAAAGUUUUUCGGCUGAGGAUGGGCCCGCGGCCUAUCAGCUUGUUGGUGGGUGAUGGCCUACCAAGGCGACG